GACGAACGCUGGCGGCGUGCUUAACACAUGCAAGUCGUACGGUAAGGCCCUUUCGGGGGUACACGAGUGGCGAACGGGUGAGUAACACGUGAGUAACCUGCCCACAACUUUGGGAUAACGCUAGGAAACUGGUGCUAAUACUGGAUAUGUGCCCCUGCUGCAUGGUGGGGGUUGGAAAGCUCCGGCGGUUGUGGAUGGACUCGCGGCCUAUCAGCUUGUUGGUGGGGUAGUGGCCUACCAAGGCGGCGACGGGUAGCCGGCCUGAGAGGGUGACCGGCCACAUUGGGACUGAGAUACGGCCCAGACUACUACGGGAGGCAGCAGUGGGGAAUAUUGCACAAUGGGCGCAAGCCUGAUGCAGCAACGCCGCGUGCAGGAUGACGGCCUUCGGGUUGUAAACCGCUUUCAGCAGGGACGAAGCUUUUUGUGACGGUACCUGCAGAAGAAGCACCGGCUAACUACGUG
rnacentral:rRNA from 1 species